GACGAACCGUGCGAACGUUGUUCGGAAUCACUGGGCUUAAAGGGCGCGUAGGCGGCAGAUCAAGUCCGGGGUGAAAGCCUCCAGCUCAACUGGAGAAGUGCCUUGGAUACUGAUUUGCUCGAGGGAGGUAGGGGUCGAGGGAACUUCCGGUGGAGCGGUGAAAUGCGUUGAUAUCAGAAGGAACGCCGGUGGCGAAAGCGCUCGACUGGAUCUCUUCUGACGCUGAGGCGCGAAAGCUAGGGGAGCAAACGGGAUUAGAUACCCCAGUAGUCC
rnacentral:rRNA from 1 species